rnacentral:lncRNA from 1 species
AAUCAAAUUGAGUUAAUUAGUGAUCUAAUCAUUAAUUAAUCCUCCAUUAAUGAUAGAGUCUCAGUCCAGUGAGAUUUUUCAGCAGUCCUCGUCCAAUGGGACUCUUCACGAGAGUUUCAGUCCAGUGGAACUCUUUAGAUUAGCUAUCUGAUCGGAAAGAAACUUCUAAUGUGUGUGGCUCCAUAGGUUCGAACCUAAGCCAGUAGCAUUGGAACAGAUUUCUGUACUAAUCGAAGUAAUCAUCUAGUAAUGGUACCAGAUGUCUGGAUAGGCCGAAUGUAUGCAAAGCAACACUCAAGAACCUACUUGGAUAUAGUUACCGUAUAAUUUAUCCUUUUGACCCUUGAUGC